rnacentral:tRNA from 1 species
UCUAAUAUGGCAGAGAAGUGCAGUGGACUUAAGCCCCAUAUACAAAGGCUAACCUUUUUUUAGAA